rnacentral:rRNA from 1 species
AUUGAACGCUGGCGGCAUGCUUUACACAUGCAAGUCGAACGGUAACAGGGAGCUUGCUCCGCUGACGAGUGGCGAACGGGUGAGUAAUGCGUCGGAACGUGCCGAGUAGUGGGGGAUGACGCAUCGAAAGGUGUGCUAAUACCGCAUACGAACUGAGGUUGAAAGUGGGGGACCUUCGGGCCUCACGCUAUUCGAGCGGCCGACGUCUGAUUAGCUAGUUGGUGAGGUAAAGGCUCACCAAGGCGACGAUCAGUAGCGGGUCUGAGAGGAUGAUCCGCCACACUGGGACUGAGACACGGCCCAGACUCCUACGGGAGGCAGCAGUGGGGAAUUUUGGACAAUGGGCGCAAGCCUGAUCCAGCCAUGCCGCGUGUUUGAAGAAGGCCUUCGGGUUGUAAAGGACUUUUGUCCGGGAGCAAAUGCUGGUGGCUAACAUCCACCGGAGCUGAGAGUACCGGAAGAAUAAGCACCGGCUAACUACGUGCCAGCAGCCGCAGUAACAC